UACGAAGGGUGCAAGCGUUACUCGGAAUCACUGGGCGUAAAGCGUGCGUAGGCGGUUUCUUAAGUCUGUCGUGAAAGCCCUGGGCUCAACCUGGGAACGGCGAUGGAUACUGGGAAGCUAGAAUGUGAGAGAGGAUGGUGGAAUUCCCGGUGUAGCGGUGAAAUGCGUAGAGAUCGGAAGGAACACCAGUGGCGAAGGCGGCCAUCUGGCUCAACAUUGACGCUGAGGCACGAAAGCGUGGGGAGCAAACAGG
rnacentral:rRNA from 1 species